rnacentral:lncRNA from 1 species
CUGAACCAUACUUGACCCUUAUCUUUGCCGUUGAAAAUAGUCUGAACUAUUUCUCGACCAGUCUGAAACAGUCUUAACCCAUUCUCGACAUGUACUCGACCUAUUUUUCCAGUCUAAACCAUACUUAACUAAAGGUCUGAACAAUACUCGACCAGUCUGAACCAUACUAGACCAGUCUGAACCAUACUAGACCAAAAAAAACCUCUACUUUUUUAACUGUUAAAAUAAAUUUCUUUUAACUGAUAUAUAUAACAACAGCCAAC